AAGCCCUGGUAUAGUUCUGAAUUAGGGGAAAUAAAGGCAAGCCCAUUGAUCCCUUCCUUUUGGGAGCCAACAUACAGGUCAAAACAAAAAAAAUUGCAAUUCUUUAAAGAUAAGGUCUACUGUGCUUCCUCCAGUACUAGGUACCUGUACUGUGAAUGCCAGCUGUUGUCUCAAGGUCACCACGAAACCAGGAAUGGAAACAGGGACACAAUGGUUCCACCAGCCAUCUUGAGAAACACAGAUGAACCCAUGCUAAGAAUGGUGGUGCAGAUAGAAGAAGCCUGGUUCUCGUAACUUAGUGGUGCUACCACAUCAGCCUGUGAUGUUCCAUCUCUAAGCAUUUUUUAACAUAAGGUACUAAACAUUCUGUGUUUAAAAUAUUUUCAAGCCUUGGCAACAUAGUGAGAUCCAGUCUCUGCCAAAAAAUCGAGAAUUUGUGAAAUUUAGCUGGGCAUGGUGACCCAUGACUGUAGUCCCAACUACUCAGGAGGCUAAGGUGGGAGGAGUACUUGAGCCUGGGAGUUCAAGGCUGUAGUGAGCUGAGAUCACACUACUGCACUCCAGCCUUGGCAAGAGAGAAAUAUCCUGUCUCCAGUGUAUAUAUAUGUGUGUGUGUGUGUAUAUAUGUGUGUGUGUGUAUAUAUGUGUGUGUGUAUAUAUAUGUCUAUAUGUGUGUGUGUAUAUAUGUAUAUCUCCAAUCUAGUUUCUUUCUAUUGUAUGAGCCAAACUUAAUCCUCACUAAUACAAAUUAUUAAACAUACAAGCAGAGUAAAACACUUCAAUGUAUUUCUCCAACAAGAGGACAGAUGUUAUAGUCAAAAAAGUAAGUGAGAAUUUUGCGCAUCAAGAAACAUUAUCAGGAAAGAAAAAAGGAUGCCUACAAAAUGGGAAAAUAUAUUUGUAAAUUGUGUAUCUAAUAAGGGUCUAAUAUUAAGAAUAUAUAAAGAACUCUUGUAAGUCAACAAUGAACAUGCAAACAACCAAAUUUUUUUAAAAAUGGGCAAAUGAGUUAAGUAGAUAUUUCCCAAAAGUAGACACACAAAUGGCCAACAAGCACAUGAAAAUAUGCUCUAC
rnacentral:lncRNA from 1 species